rnacentral:rRNA from 1 species
AACAGCUGGUCAAUCACUGGGGUCUAUGGCCCUCAGUUAGAGGCUGAAAAAUUGGGGUUCAUUGCUGAGAUAAGAAGGAUUAAGGAACACAUGCUGCCGAAAUGGAUGGUUUUGGGAGAUUUCAACAUGAUCAGACGGGCUGAUGACAAGAGCAAUCUUAACUGCAAUCUCCGGAUGAUGGGCAGAUUCAGGGCACUCAUCGAGGAUCUGGAACUAAUUGAUUUCCGAUUGUUGGGGAGGAGGUUCACCUGGUCUAACGAGCGUCAAAACGUCACUCUCACCAAAAUUGACAGAGUGCUGGUAUCCGGCGAGUGGGAAGCUGCCUUUCCCCAAUUUCAGUUGAGCCCAGCAUCGACGAAUAUCUCUGAUCACUGCCCUUUAGUGCUG